UCAGUGCCAUUCACGUGAAACCAUAGUAC
rnacentral:sRNA from 1 species